UACGAAGGGGGCUAGCGUUGCUCGGAAUCACUGGGCGUAAAGCGCACGUAGGCGGCUUACUAAGUCAGGGGUGAAAUCCUGGAGCUCAACUCCAGAACUGCCUUUGAUACUGAGAGUCUUGAGUUCGGGAGAGGUGAGUGGAACUGCGAGUGUAGAGGUGAAAUUCGUAGAUAUUCGCAAGAACACCAGUGGCGAAGGCGGCUACUG
rnacentral:rRNA from 1 species